GGCUAGSAGGCAUUUCCCCUUGCCAWKUCGRGCGGAGACGGGMAGCUUGCUCCUUGAUUCAGCGGCGGACGGGUGAGUAAUGCCUWGGAAUCUGCCUGGUAGUGGGGGACAACGUUUCGAAAGGAMCGCUAAUACCGCAUACGUCCUACGGGAGAAAGCAGGGGACCUUCGGGCCUUGCGCUAUCAGAUGARCCUAGGUCGGAUUAGCUAGUUGGUGAGGUAAUGGCUCACCAAGGCGACGAUCCGUAACUGGUCUGAGAGGAUGAUCAGUCACACUGGAACUGAGACACGGUCCAGACUCCUACGGGAGGCAGCAGUGGGGAAUAUUGGACAAUGGGCGAAAGCCUGAUCCAGCCAUGCCGCGUGUGUGAAGAAGGUCUUCGGAUUGUAAAGCACUUUAAGUUGGGAGGAAGGGCAGUAAGUUAAUACCUUGCUGUUUUGACGUUACCGACAGAAUAAGCACCGGCUAACUCUGUGCCAGCAGCCGCGGUAAUACAGAGGGUGCAAGCGUUAAUCGGAAUUACUGGGCGUAAAGCGCGCGUAGGUGGUUCGUUAAGUUGGAUGUGAAAGCCCCGGGCUCAACCUGGGAACUGCAUCCAAAACUGGCGAGCUAGAGUAUGGUAGAGGGUGGUGGAAUUUCCUGUGUAGCGGUGAAAUGCGUAGAUAUAGGAAGGAACACCAGUGGCGAAGGCGACCACCUGGACUGAUACUGACACUGAGGUGCGAAAGCGUGGYRYSAYMAAACAGGAUUUAGAUACCCUGGUAGUYCCACGCCCGUAAACGAUGUCAACUAGCCGUUGGAAAUCCUUGAGAUUUUAGUGGCGCAGCUUAACGCAUUAUMGUUSGACCGCCUGGGGAGUUACGGYCGKCKAGGAUCACAAUCUCAAAUKCAAUUUGAACGGGGUGCGCKCKRSUMACCWAGARGCG
rnacentral:rRNA from 1 species